rnacentral:rRNA from 1 species
CAAUAGCGUAUAUUAAAGUUGUUGCAGUUAAAAAGCUCGUAGUUGGAUUUCUGGUGGGAGCGAUCGGUCUGGCGCUUAGCGCGAGUACUUGCAUCGUCUCCGGCCAUCCUUGGGGAGAGUCUGUCUGGCAUUAAGUUGUCGGGCAGAGGAUCCCCAUCGUUUACUGUGAAAAAAUUAGAGUGUUCAAAGCAGGCUUAUGCCGUUGAAUAUAUUAGCAUGGAAUAAUAAGAUAGGACUUUGGUACUAUUUUGUUGGUUUGCGCACCAAAGUAAUGAUUAAUAGGGACAGUUGGGGGUAUUCGUAUUCCGUUGUCAGAGGUGAAAUUCUUGGAUUUACGGAAGACGAACUACUGCGAAAGCAUUUACCAAGGAUGUUUUCAUUAA